AUUGAACGUUGGCGGCAUGCCUAACACAUGCAAGUCGAACGGUAACGACGGGAGCUUGCUCCCGGGCGACGAGUGGCGGACGGGUGAGUAAUACUUAGGAAUCUGCCCAGUAGUGGGGGACAACAUUCGGAAACGGAUGCUAAUACCGCAUACGCCCUACGGGGGAAAGCGGGGGAUCUUCGGACCUCGCGCUAUUGGAUGAGCCUAAGUCGGAUUAGCUUGUUGGUGAGGUAAAGGCUCACCAAGGCGACGAUCCGUAGCUGGUCUGAGAGGACGACCAGCCACACUGGGACUGAGACACGGCCCAGACUCCUACGGGAGGCAGCAGUGGGGAAUAUUGGACAAUGGGCGCAAGCCUGAUCCAGCAAUGCCGCGUGUGUGAAGAAGGCCUGCGGGUUGUAAAGCACUUUCAGUAGAGAAGAAAAGCCUAGGGUUAAUACCCCUGGGUCUUGACGUAACCUACAGAAGAAGCACCGGCUAACUCCGUG
rnacentral:rRNA from 1 species